GGCGUGAUGACGAGGCACUACGGUGCUGAAGCAACAAAUGCCCUGCUUCCAGGAAAAGCCUCUAAGCAUCAGGUAACAUCAAAUCGUACCCCAAACCGACACAGGUGGUCAGGUAGAGAAUACCAAGGCGCUUGAGAGAACUCGGGUGAAGGAACUAGGCAAAAUGGUGCCGUAACUUCGGGAGAAGGCACGCUGAUAUGUAGGUGAAGCGACUUGCUCGUGGAGCUGAAAUCAGUCGAAGAUACCAGCUGGCUGCAACUGUUUAUUAAAAACACAGCACUGUGCAAACACGAAAGUGGACGUAUACGGUGUGACGCCUGCCCGGUGCCGGAAGGUUAAUUGAUGGGGUCAGCGCAAGCGAAGCUCUUGAUCGAAGCCCCGGUAAACGGCGGCCGUAACUAUAACGGUCCUAAGGUAGCGAAAUUCCUUGUCGGGUAAGUUCCGACCUGCACGAAUGGCGUAAUGAUGGCCAGGCUGUCUCCACCCGAGACUCAGUGAAAUUGAACUCGCUGUGAAGAUGCAGUGUACCCGCGGCAAGACGGAAAGACCCCGUGAACCUUUACUAUAGCUUGACACUGAACAUUGAGCCUUGAUGUGUAGGAUAGGUGGGAGGCUUUGAAGUGUGGACGCCAGUCUGCAUGGAGCCGACCUUGAAAUACCACCCUUUAAUGUUUGAUGUUCUAACGUUGACCCGUGAUCCGGGUUGCGGACAGUGUCUGGUGGGUAGUUUGACUGGGGCGGUCUCCUCCUAAAGAGUAACGGAGGAGCACGAAGGUUGGCUAAUCCUGGUCGGACAUCAGGAGGUUAGUGCAAUGGCAUAAGCCAGCUUGACUGCGAGCGUGACGGCGCGAGCAGGUGCGAAAGCAGGUCAUAGUGAUCCGGUGGUUCUGAAUGGAAGGGCCAUCGCUCAACGGAUAAAAGGUACUCCGGGGAUAACAGGCUGAUACCGCCCAAGAGUUCAUAUCGACGGCGGUGUUUGGCACCUCGAUGUCGGCUCAUCACAUCCUGGGGCUGAAGUAGGUCCCAAGGGUAUGGCUGUUCGCCAUUUAAAGUGGUACGCGAGCUGGGUUUAGAACGUCGUGAGACAGUUCGGUCCCUAUCUGCCGUGGGCGCUGGAGAACUGAGGGGGGCUGCUCCUAGUACGAGAGGACCGGAGUGGACGCAUCACUGGUGUUCGGGUUGUCAUGCCAAUGGCACUGCCCGGUAGCUAAAUGCGGAAGAGAUAAGUGCUGAAAGCAUCUAAGCACGAAACUUGCCCCGAGAUGAGUUCUCCCUGACUCCUUGAGAGUCCUGAAGGAACGUUGAAGACGACGACGUUGAUAGGCCGGGUGUGUAAGCGCAGCGAUGCGUUGAGCUAACCGGUACUAAUGAACCGUGAGG
rnacentral:rRNA from 1 species